GAUGAACGCUGGCGGCGUGCCUAAUACAUGCAAGUCGAGCGAACAGACGAGGAGCUUGCUCCUCUGACGUUAGCGGCGGACGGGUGAGUAACACGUGGAUAACCUACCUAUAAGACUGGGAUAACUUCGGGAAACCGGAGCUAAUACCGGAUAAUAUAUUGAACCGCAUGGUUCAAUAGUGAAAGACGGUUUUGCUGUCCCUUAUAGAUGGAUCCGCGCCGCAUUAGCUAGUUGGUAAGGUAACGGCUUACCAAGGCGACGAUGCGUAGCCGACCUGAGAGGGUGAUCGGCCACACUGGAACUGAGACACGGUCCAGACUCCUACGGGAGGCAGCAGUAGGGAAUCUUCCGCAAUGGGCGAAAGCCUGACGGAGCAACGCCGCGUGAGUGAUGAAGGUCUUCGGAUCGUAAAGCUCUGUUAUUAGGGAAGAACAAAUGUGUAAGUAACUAUGCACGUCUUGACGGUACCUAAUCAGAAAGCCACGGCUAACUACGUG
rnacentral:rRNA from 1 species